CGGGAGGCAGCAGUGGGGAAUAUUGGACAAUGGGCGAAAGCCUGAUCCAGCCAUGCCGCGUGUGUGAAGAAGGUCUUCGGAUUGUAAAGCACUUUAAGUUGGGAGGAAGGGCAGUUACCUAAUACGUGAUUGUUUUGACGUUACCGACAGAAUAAGCACCGGCUAACUCUGUGCCAGCAGCCGCGGUAAUACAGAGGGUGCAAGCGUUAAUCGGAAUUACUGGGCGUAAAGCGCGCGUAGGUGGUUCGUUAAGUU
rnacentral:rRNA from 1 species